GCCAGGCAGUAGUUGUACCGAUAGGCGUGCUCGCGCUACACACUGCGUAUUCCUGGCAGAUGCGUGUUUUUGUUAUGAAUCGACCGUCCGCUCUCCUUGUGCACUGGAGCCUUGGGACUGUAGCAGCGCGAGGCGAACUUACUGGCUUUCCUUACCUCUGACGAGCCGUUUCCACUUACUCUCUUUUUAUGUGCUUAUCCCGUUAUAGAACUAAGAUAAAAACGAUUUGUUUGAGUAAAAAAGGAAGGUGGAUAGAAAAAAACUAAGAAAAACAAAUAGUUCGUUUGCCAGUGUUCAAAUUAUAUCAAUAGCUGUACGGGAAGAGGAGCCGUAAGACCGGCUGCACACGAGCAAGAAACUGCAGUUGUGUUGGUUGAACGAACGAGGAGGACGGAGGAACUGCAAGCCCUGCAGAGAGCCGUCGGACUCAGCGCUCAGGCAUGGAACCGGGGCUGCGGCCCGGCUCAGAGGAACACGGACCCCUGCCCCUGUGAGCCCCUCCCGCCGUCCACCCACGCUCACUGCUGUUGCAUGGAGGGAAGAGGAAGAGCGCCCUGCUGUCUGCAACCCAGCCCAGAACCCACGUAGGAAAACUCAAACAGCCCCAGAGACGGGAGCAGUCCAGCGCUCCAGCCGCACCCUCGCUCGUAGGGAAGCCCACAGAGGGAACUGCUCCACGCUGUUACUCUGUCAUCGGCCGUGUACCUGCAGCGCAGAUUCGACUCCUGCAGCCAUAUAACAUUCGUCUGUGAUAAAUACAGUGGAGCUGAGGACUCCUUACAGUGCAGGUCUCCACACAAGAUGGAUUAGAGACGGAUUCCUUCGUGGCUGUGAGAAACGCGAGGAGCAGUCCCAACAAGCCCGAGGGUUUUAUCUCAUACUUAAACACUGAAGACAUCAUCCUGUGACACCAGGAGGAUGUGGAUUAGCAUAAAUACACGUGGCUUUAUACUGUAAUUCCUGGCCCAACCGUGUGAGUCGCAUUACCGAAUUAGCCCUCGGUCGACAACCGCUGACUUCGCAACGUUGUUGGCUAGCGAAGCUAGUGACGUAUCCCCGGGCUGGCUGAGAGCAGCAGAUGCCGCCCAUACCACCAUAACACUGACGGGACCUUCGGUGCCUUGUCCCCUCGGCUGUCCCACAGAGCGGCGUCUCCUCCGCCAUUACCGUUAAAAGUAAUCACUGUCGCUAGUUCCCAGACUGUAGCUACGGAGGCUUUCCCCUGGACCCCUAACAGUUCCGUAACUCGGUGCUUAAUAAAGCCGUUGUGACCGCUGC